rnacentral:rRNA from 1 species
UACGAAGGGUGCAAGCGUUACUCGGAAUUACUGGGCGUAAAGCGUGCGUAGGCGGUUUGUUAAGUCCGUUGUGAAAGCCCUGGGCUCAACCUGGGAAUUGCAGUGGAUACUGGCGAGCUAGAGUGCGGUAGAGGAUGGUGGAAUUCCCGGUGUAGCGGUGAAAUGCGUAGAGAUCGGGAGGAACACCCGUGGCGAAGGCGACUACCUGGCCCAUUCUUGACGCUGAGGCGCGAAAGCUAGGGGAGCGAACGGG